AUGCCGUUGAAGGGCAAGGUGGCCUUGUUCUCCUGCAAGAUGAUCGUCAACUACUUGUACUCCACGUGGCUCUUGUUGCUCCUCUAUGGCAUCUACCUCCGCCCAUACGCUGUCCGGCCAAACGUGGACGCCGCCGCCCUCGCGGCCUUUGACCUCGCCCCGGACAACAUGCUCCGCUACGACCUCGCCGCCAACAUCACCUUCUUCAACGACCACCGGGUCUGGGCCAUCCGCUUCAACCACUUCUCCGCGAGCCUCUACUUCAACGGCACCAAGCUCAGCCCGCCCGACGACACCUUCCCAAAGUUCAAGGGCAGACUGCGCCGGCACCGCACCGUGCACCCCGUGCUGCGCGGCCGCGCCAGCAACGUCAGCGCCGCCGUGGCGGAGGAGUUCUCCUGGCAGCGAGCGCAGGGGUGGUUCACCGUCGAACUCAGGCUCAGGGCCACGUUGACUUAUCUCGUAUGGCCCACACGGCACGUCUACUACUAUGAGUACGACUGCUGGCUACCUUUCCCAAGCAACACCACGCCGGCGGUGAUCGGCGGCGUCAAGUGCAGCAAGGGCAAACGGUUUGGGCUUUCCUGA
rnacentral:rRNA from 1 species